GAAAAUGUAUGCUUGAACAUUGUAAUCAUCAAUAGCUGCUGGUAUAAUUUCAGAGCCAAAAUCAUUAGAAGUGGGAUAGCUCCAUUUCAAGAGCUUCAACAAUACAUCUGUCUUGAAUACAUAAACUCCCAUUGAAGCAAUAUAAGGGGAUUUCUUCGCAUCUUGUGGAGAUAAUCCAACAAGAGUAGUAUCUACUUGCAUUGCUUUAAG
rnacentral:misc_RNA from 1 species